rnacentral:rRNA from 1 species
CCAGACUCCUAUGGGAGGCAGCAGUGGGGAAUAUUGCACAAUGGGGGGAACCCUGAUGCAGCAACGCCGCGUGGGUGAAGAAGUACUUCGGUAUGUAAAGCCCUGUCAGCAGGGAAGAAAAUGACGGUACCUGACCAAGAAGCCCCGGCUAACUACGUGCCAGCAGCCGCGGUAAUACGUAGGGGGCAAGCGUUAUCCGGAAUCAUUGGGCGUAAAGGGUGCGUAGGCGGCCUUUUAAGCGCGGGGUCUAAGGCGGUGGCCCAACCACCGUUCGCCCCGCGAACUGGAGGGCUAGAGUGUCGGAGAGGGAAGCGGAAUUCCUAGUGUAGCGGUGAAAUGCGUAGAUAUUAGGAGGAACACCAGUGGCGAAGGCGGCUUCCUGGACGAAGACUGACGCUGAGGCACGAAAGCGUGGGGAGCGAACAGGAUUAGAUACCCCAGUAACG